rnacentral:rRNA from 1 species
UUUUUGUUUUCAACGGAGAGUUUGAUCCUGGCUCAGGACGAACGCUGGCGGCGUGCUUAACACAUGCAAGUCGAGCGGAAAGGCCCUUCGGGGUACUCGAG